UACGGAGGGUGCAAGCGUUAUCCGGAUUCACUGGGUUUAAAGGGUGCGUAGGUGGGUCUGUAAGUCAGUGGUGAAAUCUCCGGGCUUAACCCGGAAACUGCCAUUGAUACUAUAGGUCUUGAAUUAUCUGGAGGUGAGCGGAAUAUGUCAUGUAGCGGUGAAAUGCUUAGAUAUGACAUAGAACACCAAUUGCGAAGGCAGCUCACUACGGAUAUAUUGACACUGAGGCACGAAGGCGUGGGGAUCAAACAGG
rnacentral:rRNA from 1 species